GGAUGUGAGGGCAAUCUGGCUGCGACAUCUGUCGCCCCACUGAUUACCAGGGUUGAUUCGGCUGAUCUGGCUGGCUAGGCGGGUGUCCUCUUCCUCCCUCAGCCCUCCAUGUGUGUACCUCCUGAAGCGGACUGGUCUUCAGUCAAGGGUAGACGA
rnacentral:snRNA from 1 species